UAGUCGCUUUAUUAAACUAGCUUAUAUGAGCUGUAUACGCACGGAGAGAGCGGGGGAAAGGCAGAACCGGGCAGGUGGAGAAGGAUAGAGAAGAAUGAGCAGCUGUAACUGAUAGCUGGAGAGAGAAAGAGAGAGAGUCGUGGGAGGGAAAGAGGCUGCUGUCUGUCUGUUUUUCAGCUGCGUAGGAAAGAGCAUUUUUUGAAAACGUCGAGAAAAAUUUGUGAAAAUUGGAAAACAAGGCGGGAAAAAUGUUUAAAAAUUUAGUAAAUUAGUUUGAAGUGUGUGGCUUCAGCCUCGGGGACGCGGUGCGCGAGAUUUUGCCGUUUUCGCCGUUUUUUUCGACCUAGAUUUUGAGCGGGAGAUGGAUACGGCGCUGCAGAGACUGUGUGUGUGUGUGUGUGUGUUAGAAAGAGAGAGAGAUGCAUCGACUCACGGAGACUCAGAUGACACAAGUCGGGCGAGCUCAGCCACCAGAGCCGUCAAUCAAAAACAGAGCAAAGGACAACGGUGUUUCUGAACCAUUUCCGUGGUCGACACCGCGACGGCUCUCCUGUUCCUCUUGCGCGCUUUUUCUCUCUCUCU